UGGGGAAUAUUGCACAAUGGGCGCAAGCCUGAUGCAGCCAUGCCGCGUGUAUGAAGAAGGCCUUCGGGUUGUAAAGUACUUUCAGCGGGGAGGAAGGGAGUAAAGUUAAUACCUUUGCUCAUUGACGUUACCCGCAGAAGAAGCACCGGCUAACUCCGUGCCAGCAGCCGCGGUAAUACUGAGGGUGCAAGCGUUAAUCGGAAUUACUGGGCGUAAAGCGCACGCAGGCGGUUUGUUAAGUCAGAUGUGAAAUCCCCGGGCUCAACCUGGGAACUGCAUCUGAUACUGGCAAGCUUGAGUCUCGUAGAGGGGGGUAGAAUUCCAGGUGUAGCGGUGAAAUGCGUAGAGAUCUGGAGGAAUACCGGUGGCGAAGGCGGCCCCCUGGACGAAGACUGACGCUCAGGUGCGAAAGCGUGGGGAGCAAACAGG
rnacentral:rRNA from 1 species